rnacentral:rRNA from 1 species
AGAAUCAACGCUGGCGGCGUGCCUAACACAUGCAAGUCGAACGCGAAAGCCCCGCAAGGGGUCGGUAGAGUGGCAAACGGGUGAGUAACACGUGGGUGAUCUGCCUCAGAGUGGGGGAUAACGACCCGAAAGGGUCGCUAAUACCGCAUAACAUCCUGCGCUUGGAUGCGUGGAGAUCAAAGUUGGGGAUUCGCAAGAACCUGACGCUUGGAGAGGAGCCCGCGGCCGAUUAGCUAGUUGGUGAGGUAACGGCUCACCAAGGCAACGAUCGGUA